rnacentral:lncRNA from 1 species
UUCAUCUCCAUUUACAGCCAUUUAUUUGGGAGCAACAUACUUUAAAUGAGUGAUAAACAAAAUGUCUCCCCACAGCCCCCACCCCAGCAUGUGUUCUGAAGUUCACAGGAAGGCUUCUCCUCAUUUGCUUUGGGGCCCGCAGGCUGCCUGCUAACAGCUGGGUCUUCCCAUGAACAAAUUAGACAGUUAAUGUUCCAGGAUGAAGAGGGCUUCGGGGAACAGAAUCUGCCGUUUAUUUGACUUGCUUCAUUAGACACAGUGCCAUCAUACCAAAAUUAGAAAAAAGAAGGAACUCAGCGGAAAUCAGCUACACAAGAAGAACCUCUCAGUUCUGAGAAUUCACAUUAACCAGUGAUUAAGAAAUAUUAAAAAGGGCUGAUAGUCCACUACGUUAUCAAGUUCAAAGCCUAAGAAAUAUUGAACAUUUCCACACAUGAAUGUGGGUACUAUGUUUAAUUUGAGAAUGGCCAACUGUCCUCGAAGUCUCAAUCUCUUUGGAGCCUACCAGCUCCGAGAGAAGUUUGAGGAUGCUGCAAAACCCUCCCCUGCAAAUCCAUCUACUCCUCCCACUUCUAUCCUAAUGGGUAUAGUUCUUGGCUGUGCUGAGGAUCUGUAAGGCACCAGAUGUGAAAGUAAGGAAGAAAGAUGGAUGUGGAAGAAAGUCACUGCCCAGAGAAUAAGGAGACCUGGAUUCUAAUCUCAGCUCUGCCAUUAACUAGCUAUGAAACUAUGGCUCAAAAGGGAAUAAGAGAUCAAGGCAAGCAUGGACAUCUUGUACGUGGAAGUGCAGACCAGAACUUGUAUCACAGCCAGUCAUAUCUGAAAAAGUGGCAUAGAGGGAAAAAGAGGUCAAAUUAAACAUCAAGGUAGCUAAAAGGAAAAUUGUGUCCGCUGCUCUAAUAUCACAAUCCCAAGGAGAACUGCAGACAUUUGUCCUCGAGUUCCUCAGGUUGCCAGUAAUGAUGUUUCUGGUGAUCUGGCUCAGAAGGCUGAGCUGAUGAGUGAUCACUCAGAAAUACUGAAUCAGGCAAUGGAAAUUCUGAAUCGGUGGGCUCUGGAGAAGGAACUGAGGGCGAGGUGACUCGGGGCCGGAGGGCUAUUAUGGACUAUGGACAAGCUGAAGGCAUGGGAAGCCUGACCAGUAGAUAGAGGAAUAUGAACUUGGUGGACAGGGAAAAGCAGGGACGUCAUGAACGAAAGACCACAGACCCUCUGUUCUAGUCCAUGGGGCCAGGCUGUGCUCCACUGCCUACUCUUGGAUUCCCC